CCUCUCUGUAGGUAUAAUAAACACAGAUAUAUACUCUAAACCUACAGAUACUCAUCAAUACUUGUCGCCUGAAAGUUGCCAUCCUCCACACUGCACGAAGAGCAUUCCAUACAGCCAAGCUCUCAGAAUAAGGCGAAUCUGCUCCUCUGAAGACACUGCAAAACAACGUCUGGGGCAGCUCAAAGGACAUUUGAAAAGAAGGGGAUAUAAACACAAAAACAUCAAAAAUAGUUUUCGAAAAGCGGAAUCCAUCCCCAGAAGCAGUCUGCUAACUUACAAAGAUAAACAGAAAAGUAAAAGAAUCCCAUGUGUGCUCACCUACCAUCCAUGC
rnacentral:lncRNA from 1 species